GUGCCAGCAGCCGCGGUAAUACGUAGGUGGCGAGCGGGGGACACAAGGAAUGGGCGUAAAGGGCGUGUAGGUGGCCUUUUAAGUCAGGCGUGAAAACCCACGGCUUAACCGUGGGCCUGCGCUUGAAACUGGGGGGCUUGAGGGCAGGAGAGGAAAGCGGAAUUCCCAGUGUAGCGGUGAAAUGCGUAGAUAUUGGGAGGAACACCAGUGGCGAAGGCGGCUUUCUGGACUGACCCUGACACUGAGGCGCGAAAGCCAGGGGAGCGAACGGGAUUAGAUACCCCGGUAGUCCUGGCCGUAAACGAUGGGUACUAGGUGUGGGAGGUAUCGACCCCUUCCGUGCCGCAGUUAACACAAUAAGUACCCCGCCUGGGGAGUACGGCCGCAAGGUUGAAACUUAAAUGAAUUGGCGG
rnacentral:rRNA from 1 species